CAUCAUUUAUUCAAUCACUUUCUUAUUCUUCAUUUUAUAUAUUCAUGUAAUCCCCCCUCCCUUUUCUUUUUCCAGCCAGUUGAAUCACCAAAUUUUAGCUAAAUGUAUCAUUAGGAGGUGGAUAUUGAGAAUCCCUUGUGUGUUAGCUAACAGGGGCUUCGUUCAUAAUCCUUGCGAUAAUCAGAAAUGACAAGUUCUCUUCACCCAAGUAUAAUACAUAUUCUGGGAAUAAGAUAGAUGCCAAGCCUCAUACUGAUCCUACCAGUUCUUGGUGGUGGUUGAUACGCAGGCCGGCUACGGUCAUCCCAUUGACAACCCUUGAUGCUGAAGUGGUUGUAAGAGGACACAUUUUCUCAAGGCCACCUCUCGUUGCCCAUAUUCUGUGUUCCACAUGCUCGAAAACAAAUGCAUCGGCUUCUCACUCCGUGGGGUCAGAACCAAAGCAUUUGCCUCAUUUCACUGCCUCCGACUCCAUUUUGUACACUUUUGUCUGGAUUCAAUACGGUUGUCCAAUUUGAUUCCUCAAGAA